rnacentral:snoRNA from 1 species
UAUGGGUGAGCAUAUUACAGCGCUUCUUUGAGAAAGCGCUGUAAAAUGCCCACCCAUAAUUUCAUAUAUGGGUGGGCAUUUUACAGCGCUUUUUUUUUUGAGAAAGCGCUGUAAAAUGCCCACCCAUAAUU